CUUCAGGUCAAAUAACGUGUACCCUGCUGGUUCCGGGAAGCGCUGCUAUCACAGAAAAACACACCCGCUGCUCCAGCCCUGUGGGAAUACGGCACCGCAUCUGCCUGUGGUCUCUGUCCAAAUUUCCAAAGACAAUGAAAAGUAAUGGUGACGAUGAUGUCGAUGAUGACGAAAACAAUAAUAAGUGAGAAGAAUCGCUCACUAGGUCCCAGGCACAUUGCCAAGUGGCUUACAUAUUGUCUUCUCCUAUGAUAAGUAUUUUUAGUCCUUCUUUCAUAGAUGAGUAAAUUAAGGUACAGAGAUGACAAAUAAUUGGCCCAAAUCCAAUAGCCAAGAAGUCACAAAAUCAAGAUUCACAACAGUUCCCUUUGGGUCUGAUCCUAGAGUUGUACCCUUCCCCAUUCCAUGGCAUUAGGGAGGCGGAAGGGAACUCCCUUUCUGCUUCCUGGAAUCCAGGCUGGCUUGGUGACUUGCCGACCACAGAACGCUGUGGAAGGGACAUUCUGGGGCUUCCCAUCUCCAACAUAAGAAGGCAGGACUUGCUUCUGUGAGGUACUGAGCCACCCGUCCCUGGAGGAAAGCAAGAACAGAGCAGAUCAGAGCCCAGGCAGACAUCUUGGAUGAUGGGGUACAUCUUGCCAUCCAGAGGCAAUGCUGGAGCGGGCAGUUGUCUGCGGGGAGGCCCUGGCUCACUCUGGGCCAAAUAACAGGACUGAUUGCAGCCUGCGAUGAAACAUCCUGUUUCUCCCAACCAGAAACAGGUAGAGGAGAGAAGAGCCCCAGUGAGAGAGUGAAGCAGAUGAAAAGAUAACAUGAAAACCAACCAAGCAACGAACAGACAAACAAAAUAACCCAUUUCAAGUUCUCGGAGCCUGGUCUCAUUUCCAGCCGGAAAUUACUGCUGCAGACUGCAGGGUGCUCCCUGCACUCCCUGUGUAUAUGAUCUAGUGGUUGCUAAUGUCUUUAGAGAGAGAAAGACGUACACUGUUAUGAGGUGAGUCCCCAGGAGUCAGGAAUUUACCUGUGCCCUGGGGCAGGCACUGCCCUGGGGAGAGGAAGGAACUUCCUCAUUAAUUCAUUCCACAGGGAUGGAUGCUGCCCUCAGCCUCUGCAGGGAGCUGUUCUGCGUGCUGGAGGUGGAGACGCCAGUGCCUCUGAGGGCCUCCUUUUUCUGACAGAGCUUGCAGAGAAGGCAGACAUGAAAUGGAUGGUCACAGAUGGGGUGGAGGUUACAGAAGGGGAUGCAUAGACAGCCAGGGAGUGCUUAGGGCUUGAAUGAGGGGAAUUGCAGAGGUGAGAAAAA
ensembl:lncRNA LINC02369 long intergenic non-protein coding RNA 2369